UACAGAGGCCCCGAGCAUUACCCGGAAUUACUGGGCGUAAAGGGUGCGUAGGUGGUCAUAUUAGUCGUCUGUUAAAGACCGGGGCUCAACCCCGGACAUGCUGGCGAAACGGUAUGACUUGAGGGCGUGAGAGGUACAUGGAACUCUAGGUGUAGGGGUGAAAUCCGUUGAUAUCUAGGGGAACACCGAAAGCGAAGGCAAUGUACUGGCGCGUUCCUGACACUCAAGCACGAAAGCGUGGGUAGCGAACGGG
rnacentral:rRNA from 1 species